UGUUACAAAUUUCAUCCCUUUAUACUGUUAAAAACUGGCAUGGCUGACAGAAUAACCAGAUAGUGACAUGUGGUGGGUCGUGUAUACUUCAUGCCAACGUACAAGAACCAACUUUUAGUAGUAGAAAUGGAUGAAAUUUUUAAAA
rfam:Gossypium raimondii Chr01_contig_183, whole genome shotgun sequence.